GUGCUUGUUUUGAUAGUGCAUAUACUAACAUUGGAAUUUUACAGAGAAGAUCAAUAUAGCCCCUGACCAAAGAUGAAACCAAUUGAUGAAAAAAGAUUUUUUU